GUGAGUGAGUGUGAGUGUGUGUAAAACAAGUGGAUGAAGAGCAGCAGUGACAGAGCCCAAGGUUAGGGUCUUCAAACCCCAACUACAAGUCUUUCUCGAUGAAUGGCUCCCACACACUCCUUCUUAGGGUCAGAGCCGCUGCGCUAAUCCAUGUUCCAUCACCGCACAUGCCACCACGGGCCACCCCCACCGCCGCGGAGAUGACGGGGACCACCGGGCCGGAUGGAGCUGAUUGCGGAUGCCCCCCCGAGGCCCAGCCCAGAGCGGCGGGAGCAGCCAGGUGCUUUCCCACCCCUGAUUCACGGGAACGCCGAGAAGAUGACACACGACCUCAAAAGAGUCACCGUCCAGUGCCAGCAUCAGACGCUUUCCUUCUUCCCCGGCUCUGAGCUGAGAGACGGGCCUUGGGCAGCACGGACACUCCCAAGGAGCUGGGACAGAACCGCUUCAAUUUGUGCCACUUUUUUGCUUUGAGGAGAGGACAGAGGGCUUCCCCGCUUCGGAAUCCGGACUGACGAGUCCAGUGACAGACCAGCUUCUGGUUUAGCGGUGAAAUAAAUGCUAAUAAUAAUAAUGACG